CCUACGGGAGGCAGCAGUGGGGAAUAUUGGGCAAUGGGCGCAAGCCUGACCCAGCAACGCCGCGUGAAGGAAGAAGGCCCUCGGGUUGUAAACUUCUUUUAAGAGGGACGAAACAAAUGACGGUACCUCUUGAAUAAGCCACGGCUAACUACGUGCCAGCAGCCGCGGUAAUACGUAGGUGGCAAGCGUUAUCCGGAUUUACUGGGUGUAAAGGGCGUGUAGGCGGGUCUGCAAGUCAGAUGUGAAAUUUCAGGGCUCAACCCUGAACCUGCAUUUGAAACUGUAGAUCUUGAGUGAUGGAGAGGCAGGCGGAAUUCCGUGUGUAGCGGUGAAAUGCGUAGAUAUACGGAGGAACACCAGUGGCGAAGGCGGCCUGCUGGACAUUAACUGACGCUGAGGCGCGAAAGCGUGGGGAGCAAACAGGAUUAGAUACCCUUG
rnacentral:rRNA from 1 species